AAUAUUGCGCAAUGGAGGGAACUCUGACGCAGCGACGCCGCGUGAGCGAUGAAGGUCUUCGGAUCGUAAAGCUCUGUCCUUGGGGAAGAAGGGAGCCGUAAGGCUUCUUGACGGUACCCAUGGAGGAAUCCCCGCCUAACUACGUGCCCGCAGCCGCGGUAAUACGUAGGGGUCAAGCGUUGUCCGGAAUUAUUGGGCGUAAAGGGUGCGUAGGCGGCCCUUUAAGUCAGGUGUGAAAUACCAGUGCUUAACACUGGAAUUGCAUUUGAAACUGUGUAGCUUGAGUGCAGGAGAGGAAAGUGGAAUUCCUAGUGUAGCGGUGAAAUGCGUAGAGAUUAGGAGGAACACCAGUGGCGAAGGCGACUACCUGGACGAAAACUGACGCUGAGGCACGAAAGCUAGGGGAGCAAACA
rnacentral:rRNA from 1 species